rnacentral:rRNA from 1 species
CUUGCCCCCCUCUAGCCCAACUACCCACACUCACCAAUAUCAAAAAUCCACUACCUCACCGAACCAAAACAUUCUAAUCUUACUCCUAGUAUAGGCGAUAGAAAAGAUUUACGGCGCAAUAGAGACCAACCGUACCGUAAGGGAAAGAUGAAAUAACAAUGAAAACCACAAGCAAAAAACAGUAAAGACUAACCCUUGUACCUCUUGCAUCAUGAUUUAGCAAGAACAAUCAAGCAAAGCGAACUAAAGUUUGUCCCCCCGAAACCCAAGCGAGCUACCUGUGGGCAGCUAAAAUUGAGCGAACCCGUCUCUGUAGCAAAAGAGUGGGAUGACCUACUGGUAGUGGUGAAAAGCCAACCGAGCUGGGUGAUAGCUGGUUACCUGCUAAAUGAAUCUAAGUUCCCCCUUAACUCAUUCCCCAAGGACACACAUCAACCUCACACAUGUUAGAGUUAAGAGCUACUCGACGGAGGUACAGCUCCCUCGAAAAAGGACACAACCUCCCCUAGCGGAUAAUACCCUUAGAUACCCCACAUCGUAGGCCUUCAAGCAGCCACCAACAAAAGAGUGCGUCAAAGCUCUUCCCCCAAAAAUCCCCAACCUAAUUCGACUCCCUUACCUAAAGCAGGUUAAUCUAUGAUAAUAGAAGAAUCAAUGCUAAAAUGAGUAACUUGGAACCUUCCUCCACAUAGCGUAAACUUACAUCAACACAUUAUUAACAGAACCUAACUCAUACUUCCACCUCAACAAGAACACGUAUCUAACCCCAUCUGUUAACCCAACUCAGGAACGCUCACACUGACGAUUCAAACCUGCAAAAGGAACUCGGCAAACCAAAGACCCGACUGUUUACCAAAAACAUAGCCUUCAGCAAACAACAAGUAUUGAAGGUGAUGCCUGCCCAGUGACCCUCAAAGUUCAACGGCCGCGGUAUCCUAACCGUGCGAAGGUAGCGCAAUCAAUUGUCCCAUAAAUUGAGACUUGUAUGAACGGCUAAACGAGGUCUUAACUGUCUCUUGCAAGUAAUCAGUGAAAUUAGUAUUCUCGUGCAAAAACGAGAAUGUGACCAUAAGACGAGAAGACCCUGUGGAACUUUAAAAUCACGACCAUCUUUUCAUCAAUCCAAUCCACCGGACCUACCCACAUAAAACUCUUGGUCGACAUUUUUCGGUUGGGGCGACCUUGGAGAAAAACAAAUCCUCCAAACCCAUAGACCAUACCUCUUCGCUAAGAGCAACCCCUCAAAGCACUAAUAGUAACUUAGACCCAAUACAAUUGAUCAAUGGACCAAGCUACCCCAGGGAUAACAGCGCAAUCUCCUCCAAGAGCCCAUAUCGACAAGGAGGUUUACGACCUCGAUGUUGGAUCAGGACAACCUAAUGGUGCAGCCGCUAUUAAGGGUUCGUUUGUUCAACGAUUAACAGUCCUACGUGAUCUGAGUUCAGACCGGAGCAAUCCAGGUCGGUUUCUAUCUAUGAACGAACUCCUCCUAGUACGAAAGGACCGGAGAAGUAGGGUCAAUGCCAUAAAGCACACCCUAGCCCUCAAAGCAAUGAAUUCAACUCAAUUGCUAAGAAACCUCACACUUCCACACAACUCCUAGAAAAGGAACAG